UGCGGGGUAGAGAAAUGGUUAUCUCGUCAGCCUCAUAAGCUGAAAAUUGUGGGUUCAAAUCCCACCCACCGCAA
rnacentral:tRNA from 1 species